ACAUUGUUAUGACUUUUCUUUAAUGUCCAUGUGAUUGCAUUGACUUUGGAACACACUGGGCGCGCGCUUGUGGAUGCUUGGAUCUGCCAGCUCAAUUAAUGAGCUCAGAUCCAAGGGCUCACGCUUUUCCUUUUUUUUAAUUCUGAUUUUAAUUUCUAUUCUAUUUUUUAAUUCCAUUUCAUUUUCUAAAAUCCAUAUCUCUUUCAUUAUUGGUCCAAAAAUUAUGGGACCAAUUGCAUUAUUUCUUUUUU
rnacentral:lncRNA from 1 species